UCACUUCAGCAGUUGAUAUACUAAAAUUGGAACAAUACAGAGAAGAGUAGCAUGGCUUCUGAGCAUUGAUGGUACACAAUUUAGUAGAGCAUUCCAUAUUUUU